rnacentral:rRNA from 1 species
UUGAGUGGCGGACGGGUGAGUAACGCGUGGGUAACCUGCCCUGUACAGGGGGAUAACAGUCAGAAAUGACUGCUAAUACCGCAUAAGACCACAGCACCGCAUGGUGCAGGGGUAAAAACUCCGGUGGUACAGGAUGGACCCGCGUCUGAUUAGCUGGUUGGUGAGGUAACGGCCCACCAAGGCGACGAUCAGUAGCCGGCUUGAGAGGGUGAACGGCCACAUUGGGACUGAGACACGGCCCAAACUCCUACGGGAGGCAGCAUG